CCUACGGGUGGCAGCAGUCGAGAAUCAUUCACAAUGGGGGAAACCCUGAUGGUGCGACGCCGCGUGGGGGAAUGAAGGUCUUCGGAUUGUAAACCCCUGUCAUGUGGGAGCAAAUUAAAAAGAUAGUACCACAAGAGGAAGAGACGGCUAACUCGGUGCCAGCAGCCGCGGUAAUACAGAGGUCUCAAGCGUUGUUCGGAAUCACUGGGCGUAAAGCGUGCGUAGGCUGUUUCGUAAGUCGUGUGUGAAAGGCGCGGGCUCAACCCGCGGACGGCACAUGAUACUGCAAGACUAGAGGAAUGGAGGGGGAACCGGAAUUCUCGGUGUAGCAGUGAAAUGCGUAGAUAUCGAGAGGAACACUCGUGGCGAAGGCGGGUUCCUGGACAUUAACUGACGCUGAGGCACGAAGGCCAGGGGAGCGAAAGGGAUUAGAUACCCUGGUAGUC
rnacentral:rRNA from 1 species